rnacentral:rRNA from 1 species
GACGAACCGUGCGAACGUUGUUCGGAAUCACUGGGCUUAAAGGGCGCGUAGGCGGGCCGCCAAGUCCGCGGUGAAAUCCCCCGGCUCAACCGGGGAACUGCCGCGGAUACUGGAGGUCUCGAGGGGGGUAGGGGCAUGCGGAACUGCGGGUGGAGCGGUGAAAUGCGUUGAUAUCCGCAGGAACUCCGGUGGCGAAGGCGGCGCGCUGGACCCCUUCUGACGCUGAGGCGCGAAAGCCAGGGGAGCGAACGGG